ACACACAUCAGAUGUGUGUGUGUGUUCGACGCCAGAGCCAAGAGAAGAAGGGGAACCCUUUCUAAUCACACAAAUUCAUCCAAUUGAAGCCCUAAUCAUGGCCAUUGCUCAUGCAUGUUGGUGAUUUCUUGAUCAUCUAGACUUACUAAAGCUUAAGGAACGUGUCAAGGAGAGCUCAAGCAUAGGAGGAUAACGGGUCAAGAUAAGGCAAGGUGACAAAUACACUUAUUGGAGUACUCAAGGUAAUGCAGGAAUGAGAACGACGGAUUCUCGUGGAAUGGAAGCUGAACUCGGAACGAGAGAAUCCGAGAGAAUAGUCGGAUAAAUCAAAGUUCACGUACUACUCGGACUUCUUCUACCUUUAAGGAUGAUAAGCGGGCGUGGAUCGAGUCGAAGAGCAAGGAUUGUACGGAAAGAACGGCUACAUAGUUUGAAAUACGUAAUGCUUUGAAGCGUUAAUUUAAUGUAAAUAUUGUAAACCUCUUCCAGUAAAUGCUUAACAUUUUCGUAUUUGAGCUUUUAUGUAAGUAAUGUGUCUAAUAAAGAAAGAAAUUUCAAGGCUCGUA